rnacentral:tRNA from 1 species
AAAAUUAAAAUUUAAUUAAUUUUAAUAAUAUUUAAUUAAAACUUUUUAUAUUAAUAUUUUUUUAUAAAGCUUAUUUUUUUUUAUUUUAAAAUAGUUUUAAUUUAUAUAUAAUAUUAUAUAAUUUUAAUUUAUAUAUAAUAUUAUAUAAUUUUAAUUUAUAUAUAAUAUUAUAUAAUUUUAAUUUAUAUAUAAUAUUAUAUAAUUUUAAUUUAUAUAUUAUAUUAUAUAAUUUUAAUUUUUAUUAAAAUUA